GUGCUCCCUUCGGCAGCACAUAUACUAAAAUUGGAACGAUACGGAGAAGAUUAGCAUGGCUCCUGUGCAAAGAUGACCCGCAA
rnacentral:snRNA from 1 species